GAUGGGAGGUGACGCCAAAAGGGAACUUUUGUCAAGUUGAGUCUCCAAACCAGGGCUUCUUCCAUCUAGGCACAGCCCCAAGCAGCCCCUACAGCUCCCUUGAUCCUGCCUCACCCUGUGGAUAAAAGGCAGUCCAAACACGGUGGCAGAGCCAGAAGGAGAAAGCCUGGUCCAGAUGCUCACAAACCCGGCUCCAUCAGAAGACCCCAACCCAAAGCAGCAGCAAGAACAGACUUGCCUCAGCCUCCCUCCCCCCAGUCUGACGCUCUCACGAAAUUGAAGGUAGAUGGGGCUAGACCCCCUCCCGUAAAGGUCAGUUCCCAGCCCAGGCCUGCGGAGGCAUGUUAGGUGCCCAUCUUUUCCUCUCUCCUUGCAACACGGUCUGCGCCCACCCCAAACACCCUCGCAGUUCCCUCAGCUGUCACUGUUUAGCGCUGGAAUGACAGGCGUCCAGAUUCCGUGAGUCCAGCCACAUUCAAGGCCACUGAGCUUAGCACUUUCUGCCCCUCCCCCCCAGUCGCUAAUUUUAUUGACCUGUAAAAGGCACGUUCCUGGGCUGGGGAAAGGGGCGCUAACUCAGGGCACGGUGUGGAGCGCUCACGCAGAAGGCACCCACGAGGAAGGAGAUCGACUCCCAAAGGGGCCAAGGACGCCUGGAGGGGACCAAGGGCUCUGAGAGAGGUUUCCUCAGAGUAAGAUGGGUGCCCAAAAGAGUGGAAGAGAAAUUUUAGCCCUCGGCCAGAAAAGACUGGGAGAAGAGAGAACGAACUAUUUUCCAUCCACUCUGAGUCACAGAAAGAAUGAAGCAGGAGAGAUGAAGGUUGGAUAGCAGGAAGAACUGUCACCCUCCUGUCACAUCUCUACCCUAGCCCUUUCCUCCCCCCUUGAAGGUGACUCCUGCCUGCUGGGUCUCUCACUACAGAAAUAGCCCUUUCCCUGAAGAAUCAACCUAGAUCCUGACUCUCUUAAAAUGAGAACAAAAAAUUUAGGCCUUUGCAAUUCUGUGUGUUCCAUGCCUACCUCAUCCCAGCCCUCAAAUCAUCAGGCUCUCUUCACCCAGGUAAGAAGGGGAGAUAAGAGGGUACAGGGGGGUUAGAAGCUGUCACGGCAGAGAGGGGACACAAUGGCCUUACAUUCUUUUUUUUCUUUUCUUUUUGGAGACAGGGUUUCUCUGUAGCUUUGGAGGCUGUCCUGGAACUCGCUCUUGUAGACCAGGCUGGCCUCAGACUCACAGAGAUCCGAGUGCUGGGAUUAAAGGUAUGUGCCACCAGCCCGGCUGGCCUUACAUUCUUGAAGGGCCUCAGAUUUAGGCUUGGUAAAUCUGGGAAUGGAACCCGGGGCCUCUUUUGUGCUAGGCAUGUUCUCUGCCUGCGAAUCCGGUCUUUGACACCUCAGAUUUAUCCUGCUGAUAACCUACAUGAGGUUUAGACACCGAAGACUUUUUAUUUUUUAGACUGGAUCUCAUGCAGCCCAUGCUGGCCUCGAACUCACUAUGUAUCCCUUGCCCUUACUGUACAGUUAUUUAUUUGUUGUGUGUGCUCAUGAGUGUACAAGUUGGCAGGAACGGUUCUCUCCUCCCACGGGGACGGAACUCAAUAAGGAUUGGAGGCAAUGCUGUACCCAGUGAGCCAUCUCACCAGACCAUCCUCUCCUACCUCUCCAGUGCCAAGAUUCACGGCAGGCACUCCCCAUGCUGGCCUAUUCCGUUCUAGGGAUCAAGUCCUGGGCUCUGUGCAUGGUAGGCACUCUAACAACUGAACAUCAUGUCCAGUCCUGAGGGGAGUAUUUUAACAUUAAAAAUGACCACCAAGUGGGUAAGCGUAGGGAGAGGGGUAGAAAACAGGGCUGACAAUGGGAACAAAGUCAAUUGUGAAGGUGUGCUUAUAUCUUGAUUAGAGGAGGCACGUGUGGUGAAAAUGUAUUGAAUUACACAUUAUUAACAUGAGGUUUAUUAUACUUCAAAAAUAAAAAUGACUAACCAUUUUCUAUCUCA